CCUCCUUUAUUCAGCAGUGAGGAAUAUUGGUCAAUGGGCGCGAGCCUGAACCAGCCAAGUAGCGUGAAGGAUGACUGCCCUACGGGUUGUAAACUUCUUUUAUAAAGGAAUAAAGUGAGGCACGUGUGCCUUUUUGUAUGUACUUUAUGAAUAAGGAUCGGCUAACUCCGUGCCAGCAGCCGCGGUAAUACGGAGGAUCCGAGCGUUAUCCGGAUUUAUUGGGUUUAAAGGGAGCGUAGAUGGGUUGUUAAGUCAGUUGUGAAAGUUUGAGGAUCAACCGUAAAAUUGAAAUUGAUAAUGGAAGUCUUGAGUACAGUUGAGGUAGGAGGAAUUAGUGGUGUAGAGGUGAAAUGAUUAGAUAUAAAGAAGAAAUACGAUUGAGAAGGAAGAUUAAUAAAAUGAAAAUGACAUUGAUGCUCGAAAGUGUGGGUAUCAAACAGGAUUAGAUACCCUAGUAGUC
rnacentral:rRNA from 1 species